rnacentral:lncRNA from 1 species
UAGUUUGUUGUUUUAUUUUUUCUAUUUCCAUUUUUCUAUCUAUUUCUUCAUUUUCUUUUUCUAUUCUCACCAUAGCUGUCAAUUUAUCUUCUAAUUUUAAUUCUUCUUUUUCUAACAUUAAAUAUAAAUGUUCACCUAUUUUCUUUUACCUUCUCCCUAGAUUAGAAAAUACUAUUUUUAUUUUCAUGCAAUAUUUUUAGGAUUGAGGGUAGAGUUUGUGUACCG